AUGGGGUUCCCUGGCCUGCUGAGAAUUGUCAUAGCCUCCGUCCGCCUUGGAUCCAUCACAGCCCAGAAAGUAACUCAAGACCAGCCAGAAAUUUCUAUGCUGGAGAAGGAGGAUGUAACCUUGGAUUGUGUAUAUGAAGCUAGUAGUUAUAGUUAUUAUUUAUUCUGGUACAAACAACCACCAAGUGGGGAAAUGAUUUUCCUUAUUCAUCAGGAGUCUUACAAUGAUUGAAUACAACAGAGGGUUGGUAGUUUUUGAACUUGCAGAAAACGGCCAGUUCCAUCAGCCUUACCAUCACAGCCUUGCAACUUGGGGACUCAGCGGUGUGGAAGCCCUCAGCGGUGUAUUUCUGUGCUCUGAGAGACUACAAAUCUGGUGCAGGAAGUGGUAUUGGUGAGAGAUACUCAAAGGAGGAUUCCCAAAAUUUAGCAAAAAUUUAA